rnacentral:rRNA from 1 species
GACGAACGCUGGCGGCGUGCUUAACACAUGCAAGUCGAACGGACAGGCCCUGCUUUUGUUGGGUUCUCGAUUGGCGCACGGGUGAGUAACACGUGAGUAACCUGCCCUUGUCUUUCGGAUAACUUCAGGAAACUGGGGCUCUUACCCGAUAUGAUCUCCUGCUGCAUGUUGUGGGUUGGAUAGUUUCGGCUGUUGUGGAUGGACUCGCUGCUUAUCAGCUUGUUGGUGGGGUAGUGGCUUACCAAGGCUUUGACGGGUAGCCUGCCUGAGAGGGGGACCGGCGACAAGGGGACUGAGAUACGGACCAGACGGCUACGGGAGGCAGUAGGGGGGAAUAUUGCACAAUGGGGGGAAGCGUGAUGCAGAAACGCCGCGUGCGGGAUGACGGCCUUCGGGUGGUAAACAGAUUUCGCAGGUGACGAAGAGGGAGUGACGGUAAUGGGUAAAAAAGCAACGGCUAACUACGUG